GCUAAUACAUGCAUGUCGAGCGAGGUUUCUUCGGAAGCCUAGCGGCGAAUGGGUGAGUAACACGUGCUUAAUCUACCCUUUAGAUUGGAAUACCUAAUGGAAACAUUGGCUAAUGCCGGAUACGCAUGGAACCGCAUGGUUCCGUUGUGAAAGGAGCUUUACAGCUCCGCUAGAGGAUGAGGGUGCGGAACAUUAGUUAGUUGGUAGGGUAAUGGCUUACCAAGACUAUGAUGUUUAGCCGGGUCGAGAGACUGAACGGCCACAUUGGGACUGAGAUACGGCCCAAACUCCUACGGGAGGCAGCAGUAGGGAAUAUUCCACAAUGAGCGAAAGCUUGAUGGAGCGACACAGCGUGCACGAUGAAGGUCUUCGGAUUGUAAAGUGCUGUUAUAGGGAAAGAACACUUGGUUGAGGAAAUGCUUCCAAGCUGACGGUACCCUGUCAGAAAGCGAUGGCUAACUAUGUGCCAGCAGCCGCGGUAAUACAUAGGUCGCAAGCGUUAUCCGGAAUUAUUGGGCGUAAAGCGUUCGUAGGCUGUUUAUUAAGUCUGGAGUCAAAUCCCGGGGCUCAACCCCGGCUCGCUUUGGAUACUGGUAAACUAGAGUUAGAUAGAGGUAAGCGGAAUUCCAUGUGAAGCGGUGAAAUGCGUAGAUAUAUGGAAGAACACCAAAGGCGAAGGCAGCUUACUGGGUCUAUACUGACGCUGAGGGACGAAAGCGUGGGGAGCAAACAGGAUUAGAUACCCUGGUAGUCCACGCUGUAAACGAUGAUCAUUAGUCGGUGGAGGAUUCACUGACGCAGCUAACGCAUUAAAUGAUCCGCCUGAGUAGUAUGCUCGCAAGAGUGAAACUUAAAGGAAUUGACGGGGACCCGCACAAGCGGUGGAGCAUGUGGUUUAAUUUGAAGAUACGCGGAGAACCUUACCCACUCUUGACAUCCUUCGCAAAGCUAUAGAGAUAUAGUAGAGGUUAACGGAGUGACAGAUGGUGCAUGGUUGUCGUCAGCUCGUGUCGUGAGAUGUUUGGUCAAGUCCUGCAACGAGCGCAACCCCUAUCUUUAGUUACUAACGAGUCAUGUCGAGGACUCUAGAGAUACUGCCUGGGUAACUGGGAGGAAGGUGGGGAUGACGUCAAAUCAUCAUGCCUCUUACGAGUGGGGCAACACACGUGCUACAAUGGUCGGUACAAAGAGAAGCAAUAUGGCGACAUGGAGCAAAUCUCAAAAAGCCGAUCUCAGUUCGGAUUGGAGUCUGCAAUUCGACUCCAUGAAGUCGGAAUCGCUAGUAAUCGCAGAUCAGCUACGCUGCGGUGAAUACGUUCUCGGGUCUUGUACACACCGCCCGUCACACCAUGGGAGCUGGUAAUACCCAAAGUCGGUUUGCUAACCUCGGAGGCGACCGCCUAA
rnacentral:rRNA from 1 species